rnacentral:lncRNA from 1 species
CAGGAAUAGUCAGCCAACACAUAUUGGACUCCAUGCUUACUACAAAAGAUGGCUGGAGCAGGGGCUUCUGCCAAGGACAUUUUGAUGUCUCAGAAAGAGAUGGACAGCAUGAUGGAAGGGCACAUGUGAAGUGGUACUACAUUGUGAAAAGACAGAAAGCCAGAGAGAUUCAGAGGUCAGUCUCAAUAUUAUAAUGGAACCCAUUCUUGAGAAAGCUAACUCCUGCUGUGAUACCAGAAUUAAUCCUCAUAAAAAGAAGUGCUCUUAGCAACUUAAUUACAUUUCAGUAGGCUACAGGGUUCAACAAGAAUAUUUAUAAUUAUCUAAAAAAAAUAACAUUCUCCUCUCCUUUUCAGCUACCUAUAUGCAGGAGAUCAGAUUUUCUUCUGAGAUUUCAACCUAAGGAACUGAUCACAAUAAAAUGAAUACAGAAUCAAAUAUUAGGAUCUGUCAAUAAACAGAUUAUAAAAA